GAAUCGUCAGCCUCCUGCUCCUCAUCUACCUGCUGUUCACCAGCCUCUGGCUCAUCCCCGUGCUCUACCUGGCCUGGAUCAUCUUCGACUGGGACACGCCGGAGAAAGGUGGCAGGAGGCUGUCGUGCCUGCGGCGAUGGACAGUAUGGAAGCACUUUCGGGAUUAUUUCCCGGUGAAGCUGGUGAAGACACACGACCUGUCCCCCAGCCACAACUACAUCAUCGGCUCGCACCCCCACGGCAUCCUCUGCGUCGGCGCCUUCUGCAACUUCAUCACGGGCUCCACGGGCUUCGAGGAGCUGUUCCCGGGCAUCCGCUCCUUCCUCACCACGCUGGCCGGGAAUUUCCGCCUGCCCUUGUUCCGGGAGUACCUGAUGAGUGGCG